rnacentral:tRNA from 3 species
GCGCCUGUAGCUCAGUUGGAUAGAGCACCUGCCUUCUAAGUAGGUGGUCGCAGGUUCGAGCCCUGCCAGGCGCACCA